rnacentral:rRNA from 1 species
UACGGGGGAUGCGAGCGUUAUCCGGAUUUAUUGGGUUUAAAGGGUGCGUAGGCGGAUCGUUAAGUCAGUGGUCAAAUUGAGGGGCUCAACCCCUUCCCGCCAUUGAAACUGGCGAUCUUGAGUGGAAGAGAAGUAUGCGGAAUGCGUGGUGUAGCGGUGAAAUGCAUAGAUAUCACGCAGAACCCCGAUUGCGAAGGCAGCAUGCCGGCUUCCUACUGACGCUGAAGCACGAAAGCGUGGGGAUCGAACAGG